AGAAAGAGAUAGGGAGAAAGGUAGCGGAACUUUUCGACGGAAACACCUUGUGCGAAGGUUUGGAAAAAAAAUUUUUUUUAGGGGUGAUCGUAGUAGUAAUACAAGUAGUAAUAGUAGUAGUAGUAGUAGUAGUGAGUGGGGCGAAGAGGAAGCUUACGGUACCCCCGAAGUGGCACAGAUUCUUUCUGACGGAAGGUGCAAAAAAAACGAACGAGGAAAUCGAAAGAGAGAGAGAGAAAGAGAAAGAGAGAGAGAGAGAGAGAGAGAAAACGAGAGAGAAAGAAAAAAUUGAAAUACUGCUAGGUUGUUAAGUCUUCCCCCUUGCUGUAACUAUACUUAGCGUGUUAUACUAGGAUCAAAAAUCGAAUUGGAAAAACUAAAACCUUACGCCAAACCGUGCUCAUGAUUAUUUUGGGGAAAAAUAUCAACGAUCGACGUUCUGUUUGUAUCCUAUAUCCUAUAUCUACCUACCUACCUACCUACCUAUCUAACUAUCCACCCGUGAGAAAGGUUCCAUCCAUAGUUGUUAUAUUACUACUCUCUUCUGAUUUUGUGUGUUAGCAAAAUCCUAUUCCGUCUUCUCUGGUAUAUACAGCUAAUCGAGAGAAAGAGCACUUCUAACGGUAUCGACGCGUUUCUCUCGCAAAGUCUCUCUCUCUCUCUCUCUCUCUCUCUCUCUCUUUCUCUCUCUCUCUUUUCUAUCUCUCUCUCCUUUACCACGGUUUCUUAGCUUCCUGACGCGGUAGCUGGAGUUACGAUAGAACGAAAGUGAAACGUAUACGUGCUAACGGUUUCACGUCGAGAGCUUGGUGGAUCUUAAUGAAUGGGCAGGGAUAAGGGAUAAGGAUUUUAAUGACCUUUGACCUCUCUCUAUCUCUCUCUCUCUCUCUCUCUCUCUCUCUCUCUCCUUUGCUCUUUCUCAUUAUAUAUUUCUCCGAAAGGAAGAAAAAGAGGAGACAUUUAUUGAUUCCUUAGCGGACACUUUACUAAAAAAAAAAAAAAAAAAAAAAAAGAGCUAAAGUAUCUUUGCCGUUUCAAAUUGAGUAAAAGAAACGAAUAGUUUUCAAGAAGUAAGUAGGAAAGAAAGAAAGAAAGAAAGAGAGAAAGAAAGAAAGAAAGUAAAAAAGAAAAGAAUAUCGGUCUAAAUGGGAGACGAGAGGAUUAAUCUCUCUCUAACGGAGGGGUCAAUUCGUGCCAUCCGCCCAAAAUAAAGAAGAAGAAGAAGAAGAAGAAAGAAGAAAAGAAGACGAAGAAGAAGAAGAAGAAGAAGAAAGAAGAAAGAAGGAGGAGGAUCGAAAGGAAGGUCUAAAUGGUGUCGUAUCGCUCGAGAAAUGCGUAUAUAAUGAUCGAGGAUCAAAGAUGACAAAUUGUGGAUCAUUUUCACGUUCAACUGUUCACGUUGCUCUUCCUCAACUUUGAAUUUCAGGAGGACAAUAAGAAGAAGAGACUUACGAGGUCGGAGUUCUUUUUUCUGACUUUUUUUUUUCUUUCUUUCUUUUUUAUUCCUUUUCCUUUCUUUCUUUUUCCUUUUUUUUUUCUCUCGGACGGUGUCAACGACAAAGGAGUUCCGUGAUCCUGAAGACCUCGGGAUACAUUCGUGGUGGUCAUAAUGCACGCCAGGAUUAGGAUCAUCGAACCUAUAGGACCACCCAAUAGGGAAGGAAAUAGCCCGUGGAAUCGCGUAAGGAUUACUUCCUUAGCGACGUGUGACUAAGAAAGGCGUAGGUGUCCCCCAUCGAUCCCGGUAAACAAAAUGUCGGAAAGAAUGGAUCCUUUGAAGGAUGCUAUCCUUUAUUUUCGAGUAACCCACCAUUGGAACGUGAUCGGAGAAGAAUAAAAUCGGCCAUGCCGAAUGAGAAACAUCGAAGGUUCCCAUGAACCUAACUGUUCGAUUGCCCGGACCCAAUAUUUGAGAUCUCUGGUUUCAAUCGAAAAUCAACGACGAGAGAGAAAGUACAUUCGAGCCGCUACAAAGGAAGACAGGACAUCGUCAGAUCGAUACACAAAGAGAGGGUGAGUUUUUAUUCAAUGGAACACUCUGGGUAUCAUUAUAUUUAUGGACCACCACUCGCCAACGCGAAUGUCCUGGUAAUUUGACUAAGCUGAACGAGGAGUUAGAGAAGCAUUCAUGGACCAGCGCGUUUUCAUCCCGAGGGUUUUCCUGUCUUCUCUUUUAUUAACGCGAAAUCGUUCUCGUCGCCUCACGAUCGAUUUCGUGCAUAGACGCUCACGGUCUCAUCGACGCAUAUGGUCAAACGGUCAAAAAAGAGGGUGGUUUAGCCUCUAGAUGACCAAAUAGACCAGAAUCUAUACCAGAGAAAUAAAUCUACAAAAAAAACUUGGUUCGAUAUAUCUACUUAGGUUUCAGUACCGUUUAGUAUUCCUCUCUCCGAAGGUUCUGAAGGUAUUGACCGGUGGCCCUCUUGGUACAACUCGGUACCAAGGCCCCAGUCUAUAUAGACCUGUGCGGGU